rnacentral:rRNA from 1 species
GAUGAACGCUGGCGGCGUGCUUAACACAUGCAAGUCGAACGAAGCAUUUAAGACAGAUUACUUCGGUUUGAAGUCUUUUAUGACUGAGUGGCGGACGGGUGAGUAACGCGUGGGUAACCUGCCUCAUACAGGGGGAUAGCAGCUGGAAACGGCUGGUAAUACCGCAUAAGCGCACAGUACCACAUGGUACAGUGUGAAAAACUCCGGUGGUAUGAGAUGGACCCGCGUCUGAUUAGCUUGUUGGCGGGGUAACGGCCCACCAAGGCGACGAUCAGUAGCCGAACUGAGAGGGUGACCGGCCACAUUGGGACUGAGACACGGCCCAGACUCCUACGGGAGGCAGCAGUGGGGAAUAUUGCACAAUGGAGGAAACUCUGAUGCAGCGACGCCGCGUGAGUGAAGAAGUAGUUCGCUAUGUAAAGCUCUAUCAGCAGGGAAGAUAGUGACGGUACCUGACUAAGAAGCUCCGGCUAAAUACGUG